ensembl:lncRNA
UCAGAACCCACUGCUGUGAUGGUGAGAUGUAACACCACCCGCUGACCCCACUGCAGGUCUGAUCCAGGUUCAGACAUGUUUUGCUGUUGGCCCUGAAGAAGGGCUCUGAGUCCUAAGAGGGGAAUUGCCUGGGGCAGCCAGUGGAAGCUGAGGGAAGAACACAGUAAAAGAUGGCACAGGUCUCGUACUUGGUAGAUGUGUUAGGGGUGGCUAGGAUGAAUUUUACUGGCUAACAUCCUGUUACCUCUCUUGGGCAGUAUCACAGAACAGAAUGAAGGUUUUAAAAGCAGGUGGAGUUUGCUUGUGUGAGGAAACAAGUACUAAUCAGCUGAUAGUGUCACACAAAGGAACAGCACAAAUGAAGACUUAAUGCCAGGGAUAACUGUAAGAAACAAACAGCUGGCCUACGAGAAAGCAAAGAUGUAAGGUGCCAGGCAUCAGCUUGCUCCUGGAACUGGGCUGAGCUGCAGGACGCUGCGGGCUGGCACCUGCUCAGGGCUUGGCUGCCACCUCCCUCUGAGCACAGCAUCCCGGCUGCAAGGGAGGUGCUGCUUCUGAAGACGCCAGUGGGAGAGCACAAGAUCUGCACCAGCUGAGCAAGUCUCAACCAGCCUGUGUUGGCAGGGCUGGGUGAGGGGAAAGGGACACUGCCUCUUCCUCACCAGCUGGGCCAGCAACAAGUCGUGCUCCCCAUUUGUUUUAUUCGCUUCUCUUACGUCUGCAGCAGUUUUGGUCAGUUGUCAAUGUAGAUUUGGACAUCAAGUACCAAAGUCUUUGACCAUGGGAUUUAUAUCAAUUCUCCCAACUCAAGACAAAUGAAGGAGAGCUAUUCUGUGCAGUUUACACAAGACAUUGCAUUUUGCUGCUAUGAAUCAGGGUACUUUUCUCAGGUGCACUUUUUGAGAUGCAGGCUUCUGCCUCUUCUCAUUCAGCUGAUCACAGGUAAACAAAUGUAUGUAUAAUUAAGUUUCUGAAGUAAUUUUCAAGUAGACACUUUGCACAAAUAAUAAAUCUAGUAGUAGCAGGUUUUAUUCUGACUCAUGGACUAUCUAAGAUGGCAACAUCUGAGUCCCACAG